rnacentral:rRNA from 1 species
CAGUAGCCGCGGUAAUACGAAGGGGGCUAGCGUUGCUCGGAAUGACUGGGCGUAAAGGGCGCGUAGGCGGCGGCCAAAGUCAGGCGUGAAAUUCCUGGGCUCAACCUGGGGGCUGCGCUUGAUACUUGGUUGCUUGAGUGGGGAAGAGGGUCGUGGAAUUCCCAGUGUAGAGGUGAAAUUCGUAGAUAUUGGGAAGAACACCGGUGGCGAAGGCGGCGACCUGGUCCUUGACUGACGCUGAGGCGCGAAAGCGUGGGGAGCAAACAGGAUUAGAUACCCGUGUAGUCCCUGUUUCUUAUAC